GGGAAUGUGGCUUAGUGGUAGAGUGCUUGCCUAACAUGCAUGAAGCCCUGGGUUCAAGUCCCUAUCACCA
rnacentral:tRNA from 1 species